rnacentral:rRNA from 1 species
UUCCGGUUGAUCCCGCCGGACCUGACUGCUAUCGGAUUGAUACUAAGCCAUGCGAGUCAUUGUAGCAAUACAAGGCAGACGGCUCAGUAACGCGUAGUCAACCUACCCUAUGGACGGGAAUAACCUCGGGAAACUGAGAAUAAUGCCCGAUAGAACACUAUGCCUGGAAUGGUUUGUGUUCCAAAUGAUUUAUCGCCAUAGGAUGGGACUGCGGCCUAUCAGUUUGUUGGUGAGGUAAUGGCCCACCAAGACUAUUACAGGUACGGGCUCUGAGAGGAGUGGCCCGGAGAUGGGUACUGAGACACGGACCCAGGCCCUAUGGGGCGCAGCAGGCGAGAAAACUUUGCAAUGUGCGAAAGCACGACAAGGUUAAUCCGAGUGGUUUCUGCUAAAGGAACCUUUUGACGGUCCUAAAAACACUGUUGAAUAAGGGGUGGGCAAGUUCUGGUGUCAGCCGCCGCGGUAAAACCAGCACCUCAAGUGGUCAGGAUGAUUAUUGGGCCUAAAGCAUCCGUAGCCGGCUCUGUAAGUUUUCGGUUAAAUCUGUACGCUCAACGUACAGGCUGCUGGGAAUACUGCAGAGCUAGGGAGUGGGAGAGGUAGACGGUACUCGGGAGGAAGUGGUAAAAUGCUUUGAUCUCUCGAUGACCACCUGUGGCGAAGGCGGUCUACCAGAACACGUCCGACGGUGAGGGAUGAAAGCUGGGGGAGCAAACCGGAUUAGAUACCCGGGUAGUCCCAACCGUAAACUAUGCAAACUCAGUGAUGCAUUGACUUGUGGUCAAUGCAGUGCUGCAGGGAAGCCGUUAAGUUUGCCGCCUGGGAAGUACGUACGCAAGUAUGAAACUUAAAGGAAUUGGCGGGGGAGCACCACAAGGGGUGAAGCCUGCGGUUCAAUUGGAUUCAACGCCGGG